rnacentral:rRNA from 1 species
ACUACGGGUGGCAGCAGUAGGGAAUCUUGCACAAUGGGCGAAAGCCUGAUGGAGCAACGCCGCGUGGGUGAAGAAGGUCUUCGGAUCGUAAAACCCUGUUGUUAGAGAAGAAAGUGCGUGAGAGUAACUGUGCACGUUUCGACGGUACCUAACCAGAAAGCAACGGCUAACUACGUGCCAGCAGCCGCGGUCAUACGUAGGUGGCAAGCGUUAAACGGAUUUAUUGGGCGUAAAGGGCAAGUAGGCGGUCUUUUAAGUCUGAUGUGAAAGCCUUCGGCUUAACCGGGGUAGUGCAUUGGAAACUGGGAAACUUGAGUGCAGGAGAGGAGAGUGGAACUCCAGGUGUAGGAGUGAAAUGCGUAGAUAUAUGGAAGAACACCAGUGGCGAAGGCGGCUAUCUGGUCUGUAACUGACGCUGAGGUUCGAAAGCGUGGGUAGCAAACAGGAUUAGAUACCCCGGUAGUC